rnacentral:rRNA from 1 species
AUUGAACGCUGGCGGCAUGCCUUACACAUGCAAGUCGAACGGCAGCACGGGAGCAAUCCUGGUGGCGAGUGGCGAACGGGUGAGUAAAGUAUCGGAACGUGCCCAGUCGUGGGGGAUAACGUAGCGAAAGUUACGCUAAUACCGCAUACGAUCUAUGGAUGAAAGCGGGGGAUCGCAAGACCUCGCGCGAUUGGAGCGGCCGAUAUCAGAUUAGGUAGUUGGUGGGGUAAAGGCCCACCAAGCCGACGAUCUGUAGCUGGUCUGAGAGGACGACCAGCCACACGGAGACUGAGACACGGCCCAGACUCCUACGGGAGGCAGCAGUGGGGAAUUUUGGACAAUGGGCGAAAGCCUGAUCCAGCCAUGCCGCGUGCAGGAUGAAGGCCUUCGGGUUGUAAACUGCUUUUGUACGGAACGAAAAGGACUGCCCUAAUACGGUGGUCCCAUGACGGUACCGUAAGAAUAAGCACCGGCUAACUACGUGCCAGCAGCCGCCGUAACAC